UGUUUAAAAUCAAUACAUACUGGAAAGAAAACCCCCUAAGUGGGAAAAUUAGAAUGCUUCAGUGGCUCUAUUUAAAAGGUAGUAACUUUACUUCUUAUUGUAACUAUGUGAGAGUACAGAUGCCACCAGCACAGCAAGGCCGGUUCAGCACAUGAGUUGCUUGAGCCAGUGAGCCUGAAGCCAGAGCCUGGAGUUUGGGGUCUUGUCAUCAGCUAGUCCAGUCUUCGAUAUCAAUGGUAAAAGCUCGGAAUUUUGGAAGUCAAAGCCCCAUGGCCGAAGCCUGAAGACUGGCGACUGACCUGUGGUUGGAGUGGGACUAAGGAAUCAGCCUUGGAUACCUUCAAGACCUCCUCUGGAACGUGGCCACCCAUCAUCUAGCCUACUUAUUAUUUGGAGUCCUGUAUUGAGGAAGUACAGCAGAGCGACACGUGUGGCUUUGGCUCUGUUACUUGUACUUUCAUCUUGGGAACCAGAAGGUUGUGGGUUCAAGACCCACCUUGGAAAUGUCAUUUAUAAAAAUCAUGAAGAGUACAGGUCCCAGAACAGGUCACUGAGAAACACCACUGGUCACCGACCUCCAUGCAAAAUAUGAACCAUCUAUAAUCAGCUUUUGCUUUCUGUGGACAAGCUAGUUCUGGAUCCACAAAUGCAAGGUCUCUUUGGAUCCCAUGCUGCAUUACUUUCUGAAUGGGCCUCGCAUGGGAAACCUUAUUAAAUGCCUUACUGAAAUCCAUAUACACUACAUCCACUGCUCUACCUUCAUCAAUUUGCUUUGUUACAUCCUCAAAGAACUCAAUCAAUUUCACAAGGCAUGAUCUGCCCUUGAAAAAGCCAUGCCGAUGAUCCCUAAUCAGAUUAUGUCUCUCCAAAUGCUCCUAAAUUCUGCCUCUCAGGACUUUCUCCAUCAACUUGCCCACCACUGAAGUAAGACUCACUGGUCUAUAAUUUCCUGGGUUAUCUCUACUCCCUUUCUUGAACAAGGGAACAACAUUUGCAACUUUCCAAUCCUCUGGUAUUUCUCUCAUCCCCACUGAUGAUGCAAAGAUCAUCGCCAGAGGCUCAGCAAUCUCCUCCCUCAAAUCCCACAGUAUCCUGGGGUAUAUUGAAUCCAGUCCCAGUAACGUAUCUAACUUAAUAUCUUUCAAAAGCUCCAGCACAUCGUCUUUCUUAAUGUCUAUACAGUCAAGCAUUUCAGUCCACUUUAAGAUAUUCCCACAAUUGCCAAGGUCCUUUUCACUGGUGAAUACUGAAGCAAAGUAUUCAUUAAGUAGUUCUGCUACCUCUUCUGACUCCAUGCACAUGUUUCUGUGUUUCUGGUCUCAUUCCUGAUUGGUCCUAUUCUCACAAGGCUCAUCCUUUUUCUCUUCACAUAUUUGUAGAAUGCCUGGAGUUUUUCUUUAAUCCUGCUCGCCAAGGCACUUACACAUUUUUUGUUUCUUUUAUUUCUAAUUUCCAGCAUCUGCAGUAUUUUUAUUUCAAUGAUAUAUAAUUACAACUACUAUUGUAAGCAAUGAGAAUUAUUCAACCAGUUGUGAUCAUUAUAUGAGCAGUUUCAUGUGUACAGGUGGCACAAGAAAGAUGUCAUCAAGCAUAUGUUAUGUAAUAUAUUUGCAGAUAUGAAGAAAAUUAUGUUGAGGAAACAUUUACAGAAUGCAAAAUGAGAUUAGAUAAGUGUGGUGUCUUUGUGGGAGGGUGUUUGACUGGAAUUGUCAGCACCUAGAGUGAAUAAGUCAGAAAUAUCAAAUGAUUUUUACAGUGACUAUUCCAUGAACAAAGAAGCCCAAUGACUGAAUGAAUUUAUAGUUAACUGAAUAUCAUUGUAAAUAGUUAACUAUGCAAAUAGUUGAUGGUUUUAUAGGUUUAUAACUUUCAUUUAAAGGGAAGCUGUGUUAUGUAAAUGUGUAAAUGUACUUUUAAAAACUAAGUGGGUCUUUUAAUCAUUGUUGACCCAGACUCUGCUGUUAGAUGUAAGUUUACUGCUUUCACUAAUGGAUGUUCUAUUGCUAACUCUGCCUCUGUUAUCUGAAUUUGUGAACAGCGACCCUGAGGUGUAUACAGAUCUAAAUGUUCCCAAUACAAUCUUUUCAAGGAUAAGGAGCAGAAUUAUCCUGCUGUGUUGGCCAAGAUUUAUCACUUAAGCAACAUCAUGUCAUUAUCCCAUUGUUGUUUGAGAGUGGCCUUGGUCUGCUCAAACUGAUCACUGUGUACCAAUGUCACAAAAAAGAUUUCAUUUCAGAAGUAAUUUAUUGAGUGUAAAUGACUUUGGGAUGAACUAAAGUCAUAAUAGAGAUUGUAUUCAUACAUGCCUUUCUCGCUAUUUUUUUGUGUUAAUGUUAUCGAUAAACAUUGGAAUGUUAAAGUUAUUUUCACCUUUCUGGACGUGGAAAGUUCUCUGAUUCCAGUGAAAUCACUUGUGUUAUUUCAUACUAAUGCUUUUGAAUUCUGUCAUUUUACUUUAAAGAUUGAAAGAACUCAAAUCUCAAAAAAAGUUUGAAUACUUCAAGCACUUACAAGCCCUUAUAGUCAUUCUAGUGCAUUAAAAGAAUUAAAUUAACACCGAUUAAUCUUUGCUCUAUGCAGCUCUCCCAAUCAAUGAAAUGAAUGGUAAAGCAAUUCCUGGAACAAGUCCAACUAAAAGAAGCCCUUGAGAAUCGUAGGAUGGAUUUUCCAAAGAACAUUUGGCAAAAAAUGUAGGAAAGCACUGACCACAAGUCUGGGGCUUGAGCAUUUACACAGAAGUCACUCAUAAUGUUGACUAUCCUAUGUAGAACUAUCAUCACUUCUCUUCAAAACCUAGGGUGUGGAUCUGUAGUGAUGUCUGAAAAACAUGCUGGAUCUACCUUAGAGUAUUUAGUUAAUGAAACAUCUGCAACAACUAUGCUAAAAUGAUUGAUGGAUGCAAAUUGAAGUUCACAGCAGGCUGAAAUGCUUGCCAAUGUAUCUUACAAUUACAACAAGUGUGUCGUUUCUUUUAUUCAUACAUAUACCUGAUAGUGACUCAAUCAGCAACCUGCAAUCAUAUAUUGAGUUUCACAGAGGGAAAAUCACUGUUGCUAUGCACACUAUCUCAGGGGUAUAAUUAUACAUAAUAGGCACCCAGGAGAAUGCACUGAUGUAUCAAUUACUGCAAUGUAGUCA